rnacentral:lncRNA from 1 species
AUUAUCAAAAGUUUACUCAUUAUCUAUUGUUUUCUAAAUAAAAGCAUUUACUAUCUUUUUUAACUAAUCUAUCACUAAUGCGGUAUUGAUGUAAUAUAGUUAUACGAAACCUCGUGCGUAAUCGAUUAAAUUUGAUUGCAAAAUUUAAUUGAAAUAACUUAAAAAGAUUAUAGCAAAAAAUUAUAAUAAAUAAAAAUUCGAGAACUGAAGUGUUCACGNGUGGUAAUCCAGCUCGCUGUUCGUGAGCCAGUUUGUGUUCGGCUCGAAAUGAGCUCGAGAUUGGCUCGCUCGUUUAGUAAACGAGCCAAACACGAGCUGGAUUUUUCAGCUCGUUUAAUAAACGAGCCGAACACGAGCUGGGGUCAGCUCGCUCGUGUUCGGCUCGAUAACAGUUCGAAUACAUAUAUUUUAUAUUUAUAUAAUUUAUUUAAUUUAUAUUUUUAUAUAUAAAUAAAUAAUUAUAUAUAACAUAUAUUUUUAUUAUUUAAAUUUUAGCAAAAUAAAAAUAUAAAUGCGAGCUUAAUUAUAAAAAGACUUAUUUAUAUGUAAAGUUUCAACUAUUAGGUCAAAGUUUAAUAGAUAAGAUUUUAUAAAUUUAUUUUUUAUAUAUAUUUAAUCUAAUCUUUUUUAAUUUAUUGUUCGUUGGCCAACUCGUGAGCCAGCUUGUGUUCGGAAACGAGCCGAACACAAGCUGAAUUUUUCGGCUCGAUACUUUAACUAGCCAGCUCGUGUUCGGCUCGUUUAAACGAGCCGAACACGAGCCGACCCCAGCUCGCUCGUGUUCGGCUCGUUUACACCCCUACGCGGCAUGAAGUUACGAUCCGAAACUCUCAUGUCCAUUAACUACUUAGAAUCCACACCACGCAUAACUUAAUAAUAAUACUCUCUCAUAUUAAUCACUUUAAUUAAGAAUAAUAAUAAUCCAUUACUACAAAGAAGAGGUAAAUAAGAAAGAAGCCAAGGGCAAAAUGGUAAAUUAGACAAAAGGGUCUUGCGAGCGAGAGAGCGGAGGAUUCAUAAUAGGAGGGGGGCGGAGGAGGGCUAUAGUAGUAAAACGGGUAGUAGGGCAAGAACGGGUUCGGCGGAGGCGGCGCCGCCCCCGCGUUGUCCCCGCUCUUCUCCGGCGGCGGCGGCGGCGGCGGCGGCGGAGGGCAACCGGAGGUGGCGGCGCUCGGCGGCGGCGGCGGAGGAGGAGGAGGAGGAGGAGGAGGGAGCUCGCACGGGUUGUCGCAGGAGGAGCACAUUGCGCACGCGAUGCCUCCUCCCGUCGUCGGAGCCGUUGAUUCGGUGAUGGACGGCGCGGAGAGGGCCGUGAUGAGGAGGAGGAGGAGGAGGAGGAGGAGAGGGAGCGAGGGGGGGAACGAGGAAGAGGAGCGUUUCUCCAUGAGAGAGAGAGAGAGAGAGAGAGAGAGAGAGGGGAGAGGGGGGGGCGAUCAUCGAAAGGUACAUGGAGAGGUUGCUUAUUCGUAAUUAUCCAACCCUUGCUCUUUUUUCUUUUUUUUUUUCCUUUUUCUUUUCUUUUUCAUUUUUUUUUAUUCGAGCUUAUGAUACGACACCAACGCGGAGAGAGAGAGAGAGAGAGAGAGAGAGAGAGAGGAGGGAGAAUCGUGACGUGGACGUGGGGAGGAGGAGCCUCGCACGUGUCACCGACGGUGGCGAGGUUCCUCUGGCACGUGUGAACCCCUCGGCAUGUAACGAUACUCUCGUUGCUUACCCGAUUUUUUUUUUUCUUUUUUAAUUAUUGUCACGUAGAGAAUUUCUCAUAACGCUGAGCUCACGCACUUUUAAAAGUACAAAAAUAUUUAUACUUUAAUAGUAAAAUUAUUUUAAAUUCUAUACAACAAUAUUAAUAGUGUGCUCCAUUUAAUUUCUUUUAUUAGUACUUUACGAAUUUUAAAAUGAUACGACAGCUAAAAAAAAUCUCAAGUACAAAUACUCUUAUACUUCUUAAAGCACAAAAAAUUAAUUCUUUUUCAAAAUUCUUAAUUAUUUUUUUAAUAUUAUAAAAUGUUAUUCAAGAUGACUAAAACUUUUUUUUUUAAUAAAAAAACUAAAGGUUAGCUCCUACUAAAACUAUAAUAUUAGCUUUCAAAAAUAGUUUGGAUAAAAUCUGUAUAUGUUUCACCUAAAGAAAAUUGAGUCAUAUUUUACAAAUAUGUGGUGCAUUAGUGGAAUAUAAGCCUAGUGAUGGAGGUUUUUUUUUAUAUAUUAUUAUUAUUAUUAAUUAAAGGUUGGGUAUCUGGAAGCUUGGAGACAAAAAAAAAUGUGGGUGGAGGUGAGAGUGUGAUUAGGGGACACAUCAGUUAAAGGAGGAGAUUUGGCUUUAUGGAUGUUUUCCACUAAUAAGUAGAUAGGAAUCUAUUUCUUAAAGCUUCUUUAUAUAGAGUUUGACUGGGCUACUGUCGGUAGUAAACUGCUCGGUUUACUAUCGAUUUAUUUUUUUUAUAAUAAAGCUUCCAAAUCGACGAUCGGCACCGUUGAACAUGAUCUAGACCAUUUAAAUUAUCUAGAAAUCAAAUUUCAUGAUUUUUUGGCAUCACUAACUGAACGAUCAAAGAGUCACAGAAUCUAUAAUUUUAAUGGCCGAUACGGUGCGUUUGCUCGUUUAACGGUAUAGAAGAGUUCAAAUCAACUAUAUUUUUUUUAAAAUUUUUUUUAAACUAUUUAAAAUAAAAUCUAGACUCUAGAUCUCAAAUAUAAAAAUUGUAUCAUCACCUUUUGAAGGAUAUUCAUUUCCAGCCAUUCAUUUUUCUGUUCACUUGAUGGACAAGAGAACAAUAUCGAAAAUGUGUGAAAUUUGAUUUUCAGAUAGUUUAAAUAGUUUAGAUUAUAUUUAACGGUGCCGAUCAUCAAUUUGAAAGCUCUAUCAUCGAAACAAAUCGGUAGUAAACCGAACCGUUUACUACCGAUAGUAUUUUAGCAAAACUCCUUUAUAUAUAAUAUAUGUAUAAGUAUAUAUUGCACUUUAGAGUGACUAUGACUCCCUUUUUAGUGAGAAAAGUAAGGUUUUGAUGAGAAAGCUUAGGAGCAAAGAAAUGGGUCUAAAAUUCAAAAAAAUUAUAAAGAAAUAUAAAGAGAGAUAUUCAGAAGAAAAAUCAAAGGGAUUCUUUUGUAUUAUUAUAUUCUCUGAAAAUUUAAGUUGUCUUAAGGAAUUCGAAAAAUUAUAUAAUACAAUCGUUAUUCUUUAAGUUGAUAGAGGACAGUGCUUUUAAUAUUUAUAUUUAAAUUCCAGUUAUUUAACCUNUAGAUGGUAUGGAAUUUGUAUAACACAAGUUUUUUCUUCUUUUUUUCUUCUUUUUUUUUUUUUUUUUUUUAACAUGCUUUGAAUUUAGAUGCACUUUGUGUUUCCUAAAUAUUGUAAUAUAAAAAUCUAAAAAAUUUAUAUUGUAAGCUUUCGUAGCUCAGUUGGUUAGAGCACCCGUUUAGUAAGCGGGAGGUCUUGAGUUCGACUCUCAACGAAAGCAUUUUAUAGUUUUUAAAUUUUUACUUAAAUACUCUAAUUUUAAAAAUUUAAACUAUUAUAAUUUUUAAAUUUUUUAUUUAAACAUCUUAUUCUUAGAGCUUGACUCUUAUUUAGCAAAAGCAAUAAGUUAUAAUCUUUACAUGCUUGCUUCAACAAUCUAAUCUUAUGAGUUUAUUCUAUUAAUGAGUAUAAAGCUGAUUUUUAAUGUCUUUUUUUUUUUUUCCAAAUGAUCAUUUUACCUCUUCAGCAAAAUGAUAUUCUUGUUUUAACAUAUAAUAUGUAACAAUAUCUUUAAAUUUAUAAUUAUUUAAACAGUAUAAUCUUCCAAGUUUUUCAUAUAUUAUAAUUGUAGUCAUGAUUGUAAAGAUGAUUUUGGUUUUUAUUUUCAAUAAUAUGACUUUUUGGCAAAAAGUCAUUUUGUUACAUUGUAUUUGAAACAGCACAAAAAUUAAUUUUUUUUAUUGAAAGAGGACACCAAAAAUUAAGAAAAAGAGUGGAAAAAUUAUAAAAUUACUCUUAUAUUUUAACUUCAUGAAAUAUAUUAAGUAAGUCAGUAAAAAUAAACGAACCAUUCAAAUUUUGAAAUCAGAGUACUAUUAACAGAUAGAAAUUAAUAAAUUAAAAAAUUGUAUAGUAAAAUAAAAUUUUUGAAAGAUUGGGCAGCUAAAUCAGAAUGGUCAUAGUUCAGAUAAGUUUUAUAUAUUUGUACCUUUAAAAAUUAAAAGUCGGAGGCCUAUUUUCAAAAUCUGUAUCGUUAAAGGGUCUACAUACAUUUUUACCAGGGGAGAAAAAUAAAGGGUAAACUUCAAAUACCACCUCUGCAGUUUCGCAGUUUCUAACUUUAGUGCCCUGUGAUUUACAGUGUAUCAAGUUAGUUCCCCUAUGGUUUCAUUUAUCUUUUCAUUAGCUUUUUCGUUAAAUUAUAUACAAAAAACUUCAAAUAUCUCCAUAUAGGUUUAACGAAUAUUCACUUUAGUAUUCUUUAGUUUUAACUUUGUAACUGAUUUAACGAAAAAAAAUUUAGUGAAAUCGAUAAUAAAAAGAUAAAAUAAAAUCACAUGGCACUAAAUUGAUACAUUUUAAACCACAUAGUACUAAAGUCAAAAGCUGUGAAACUACAGGGUGGCAUUUGAAGUUUUCCUAAAAAAAAAAAAAAAUCAGUGGCAGGGAAUGAAAUUAGUUUCUAAAUUAUGAGACAAUUUAGGUACUAACGUGCAAUAUUAAAAUCGUACAGGGACCAUCCGUACAUUUUGCCCCAUCUCCCCCCUUCCGGAACAACCGUUUGUCUUUAUCGCCUACGGUCUCGGAUUAGGGUUCCGUCGAAGAGGGGAAUCGAUCGAAGAAGCUUCUUCAUCGUGCGCGAGAGAGAGAGAGAGAGAGAGAACGGAUUUGGAUCGAAUCGCAUCGCAUCGCAUUGCAUCGAAUCGAAUCAAUCCAUGGAUGCCGAUUCCUGGAGCCGCCUCUCCUCCUCCGCCGCGUCGAGGCGCCUCCAAUCGCGAUACGGUGAGCCGUAGAGCCUAUUCCCUCAAUUCUUCUUCGCCUAUGGCGAUUUUGAUUGGUUUUUAAGGGUUUUAUAGAUUUGUACCUCGCCUUCGAAGAGAUCGGAGGCGGUGGCGGCGACGACGAGGCGUCGGGAGAAUUCAACUGCCCCUUCUGCGGCGAGGAUUUUGAUUUUGUGGGGCUUUGUUGCCACAUCGAUGACGAGCACCCCGUCGAGGCUAAAAAUGGGGUAAUUUGAUUUCCUUUCGAUGAUUUAGUUGUGCUUCGAUCGCCAAAUUUUGCAUUUUUAUGGGUUUUAUUAUGAUUUAAGGUGAUUUGGGUUCUAAAGUCUCUAUUUUGUACUUAUAAAUCCAUGAAUUAGUCAUCUAUAGGUUCUUCACGCCCCAAGAGGAAAAAAAAAAAAAAAAGAACUUCGAUUCAUUGUUACUUGCAAAUAGAUAAAAGUUUUUUCCUUUUAUCUCAGUGCUUUGAUUUUCUACUGCAUAGUUGCCAUUAAUAAUACACGCGUAUUAGGAAAAGCCACAUUCGAAUUUCAGGGAUAUAUAGUUUUAUAAUGUCUUUUUUGACUCUAUCAUUCUUUUUGGUUAUAACAAGGCACUUGGUAAAUUGAUGUAUUACAGGGUGCAUAGAAUUUCUACUCAACUUGUAGUAGGUUUCUACUAAUACCAUUGUGGCUGUAGUGCCGCUGUGUAAUUUGCUUUCCUACUAAUAUCGUUGUUCAUCUUGUCUAUUUUCUAUUGCCUAUGGCUUAUUUAACCUCACUUUAUUUUUUCAUAUAUUUAUAUUUAUAUACAACAUGAUAUGCUGAUAUUUAGAAUUGAGAUGUUGAAAACGCAGCACAAUUAACUCUUAAGUUGAGACUGGGAUUAUUUGUCACAAGUCGCAACUAUUUUGUGGGAACAAACUACUAGUCGAGUAGUGUUUAAUGUGACUGCUGGUUUUUCUUAUGACGAGAAUGAAUUUCAGUUUCUUAGGCUGAGACUUUUGGCAUCCAUAUGAUUUGUAUCGGUGCUAAGAGCUGCUACUUGCCUCGUAGGUAUGUCCCAUUUGUGCUUCGCGGGUUGGGACGGACUUGGCCGGGCACUUGGUUGUGCAGCAUGGGAGUUACUUCAAGAUAUCCUUUUUUCUCUUCCUUUCUGCCGAGCGGCAAUCAUGCAAAAUAAGUCUUAGUAUUACAUGCCUGUUUGACCCACUUUCUGAAAUAUCUUUACUCCGACAAGCAGAAGCCCGUUGCUUGGCAAAUAGAAAGUUUGGAGCUUUUGAUGUAGUCAGGAAUCUGAUUGAUCUUCUUGAUCCUAAAAUGUUCCCCAGUUUAUUUAAACAGUGUAGUUCUGAAUUUCUUACGUGUGAUGCUUGCGAGUUUGCAAAGCAUACACGAGUUAAUUUUCCAAUCAGUGAUAAUAAAAGUGCUUAGCGAGCUACUGAAUAGCAAGCCCUCAAUUGAGCAGGCGCUGCGCUGCACUAAACAUAUACUUUUGCUUUUGCUGCUGUGCAGCUAUUGGGAUGAUGCUAAUGAGAAAGUUGUUGCCGCUUUUUCCAAUGGCCGUAUUCAAAUAGCACUUAUGCAGAAAUUCCAACCAAGCCAAACAGGCCCUAACUUUCUAAUUCGAUAAGAUUAUCUAGUUUUCAUUUGAGCAAAAUGUACACAGACAACAAUCAACCUGAUAUUUUCCUUAACGGAAAAUCACGUGCAUCGCCGACGGAGAUUUCGGAAAGCUCCUUCAGGGACCCAUUCAAUUUUCUCUUUAUUAAGAAAGGACCUAAGAGAUGGCAAUCUGCAAUCUCUUUUUGGAGGAUCAUCCUAUAUGGCCGCUCCUCCUACGGCAGCACCAGAUCCAUUCCUAUCAUCGCUUAUUUACACUUUGCCCAUGACUGAAUCAAAAGAUUCACAGUCGGAGAAUUUGGAUUGUGAAAUUCCAGUUAAUAGGAGCUUGGAUGGUAAAACAGUAGAAAGGUAUGUUGGUCUAUAGUUUCUUUUAAUCUUUUUUCUUUAUCAUUAUGCAUAGAUCAAUGUAUUACCAUUCCACAAUUGUCAUUCAUCCUGCAAGGUGAUUUAUCAUAUGCUUAACACUUGGGAUUACUUUCUCUUUGUUACUGAUAUGCAGACUUAUUUUCAUUUACUCAAAUCUUAAUUAUUAAUGGACCAAUGGUACUUAGGUAUACACGUAAGAUAAGUAGUAAUCCUAGCAUCCAACAAUGUCUUAAGAAGGAUUUUGGUUGGAGGAUUCCUCUUUCAAGGAGGCGGUUUUGUAUCCUUCAUGAAAACACCGGUUUAAUGUGUUAUCUCUGUUGUCCUUGAUUCAGGGAUAGUGGCAAUUGGCUGGGACAAUGAGCUAACUGUUGAUAGCAUAUUCUCUCCUACUUUUGAGUAUGACUAACCCCAAGGAUAGAGUUGCUGAGUGUUAACAAGGAAUGUUAGAAAUCCAAAUGUGGGAUAGUGAGUGACCAUAAAGCAAUUCUGAAAUGCAAGGUAAAAAAUAAAUCUUUGAAGCUGCUACUAAACAGAAAGACUUUGCUUGUCAUUUAAAGCAGUUUACGGAAGCUUUUUUAAAAGGGAAGAGACUGAGCAAAAUAGAACAUUGCCCCCUUUGUUUUAAAACUUCUAAACCUAUGAACACCAACCCUUGUAAGCGGUGAUGUUUAUUGAUUAGCAUCAUAAUUAGCAGUAUGGAUUUUGUCUGUCAAAUAAAACUGAUCUAAAUGGUUGCCGACAAUUUGGACCUUUUGGUUUUAGAAGUGUGUGACGUUUAUAGCUGCAGAAGUGCUUGAUCUGCAGUGGUAGAUUCUGAUCUGCUAUGAUCGCAGCCAUUGCUUGCUCAUUUGGUUUAUUGUAUUUGACCUAUUACCUUUUUAAUUUAUAUGCAGAGUUGAACCUUCUCUAUCCGACAAAGAUCAGAAAGAGAGGGCUCAAAGGAGUGAAUUUGUGAAGGAACUUGUUCUAUCCACAAUAUUCAAUGAUCCAUUAUGAGGGAAUAUCCAUUUCCUUUCGUGGUGGUGUUCUGUUUCUUCCUCGAGAAAACCAUACGAUCGUCCUCCGCCUAUCAUUGUUGUUGUUGUUAUUACUUGUUGCUCAUGUUUUGAGCCUCUUUUACUGGAGAGAGGAUGCACACUCAAACUAAAGAAUGUAUGCAUAUUUUCUUCAACUGUUGUGUCGUGGGGAAAUGAAGGCGCACGAAAAUGUAUUAUGGAUUUACUUUUAGUUUCGAGCUCUUUUAGGGGCUACAAUUUCGGCGCAAUUAGUUUAUUUUGGAAGGGAAUACUCCUCCAUACGAUAAUUUUGUUCAAUCAUAAUUUACAAUAAGUGUUUGCUUCAGCUUCUUUUCUUUGAGAUUGAUGCUUAGAUGAAGCCUCCUUUGUGCACCAGCACAAUAAUAUUUUCUCGUUUUUUUUUUUUUAUUUUGAGGAAUGAGUGUUGAGGUCACAAAUUUUUGUUUGUUGAAAUGCAUUUUUUUUGUUUUCUGAUACUGGAAUACCACUAUACACAAAAUCAGUUCGUACGCAUCCGCAUUUCCGAGUAAUGGUGUGGAAAAGUCACAUCGUGUGUUGCACGAGCAAUUUCCUUCCGUGGACGUGUUUUUUAGUAAUAAGUCUUGAAUUCAAAUCAUACUUUGUUGUUCGAGCGAUUUCUAAACACUUCAUUAUCUAUGAGUAGAUCAGAAUGAAGGAGAAAUAUUCUUGUCACCAACAAAGUAUUUGUUUUUUUUUCUUUUUUAAUUUUCUCAAUUUAAUGGGACUGAUAGAGGCUACAUUCUAUUUGUGGCUAGUGUUAGUCCCUAAUUUGUGACAAACACAGCUUUUGUAUGGAGUCAAAAAGCAUUGAGAAUAGGCUUUUCUAUGGAGUUAAAAGUUAAAAAACAUUAAGAAUAGGCUCUUCCUUUUACUCCUCACUAUACUUUUUCAUUAGUAGGAAAAGCCUAUUAUUCUUAAUGAGAGAUUGUAGGUUUCAAAAACACAAACAUCAAUUUAAUGUCGGUGAUUCUGCUUCUAAUGAUAUUCUAUUAUAGCAGAAUCAGAGACAUCAAAUUGGUGCUUUUGCUUUUGAAACCUACAAUCUCAUUUUAGCUUUUCAAUGAAAGUUGCAGACUUUUCUACCCAUUAAAUAUCAGAUUGAAAAUGAUUAUAGGUGAAAGUAGCAAGUAUGAUUAGCACAAAACAAGCAUUUAGUCACCUCAGAUCCAUUUCAUUUUCGAUUAGCACCUCUUUGCUUCUGAAUCUGCCCUCAAAUGUUCAAAGUUCCCUUUAACCCUUUCCAAGAAACUUUACUUGGGACCUGCAUUUGUCUCUUACUUUCUAACCAUACCAUUCUCUCUCUAAAUAGAGCUCCAGAACAUUUACUUUACAUGAUAGUGAGUUACAUCAACAAGUACAAAAGCAACUUCACAGUAUCAUCUCAUGCAAAAGUAAUCCACUAAUAAAUAAAUAAACAACAAAAGGAGCAAAGGAGAAUCCCUCCUGUGCCAAGCAAACAAAACCACUAUCUCCAAGCAAUUCCCAGCUCACUGGAUUCCUCCCUUGCUAUCCUCUCCCAAGCCAUCUCUCUAUGAUUAAAUCGACGCAAAAACCUCGUACUGGUUCCGGAUUUAUAUCCCUCCGUUUGGCCGCGUUUCAUACCGACGACGACGGUGACGAAAGAGCGAGAGAAGGAAAACGACCACGAUGGCGAUCACGCACGACGAUCUCUCCCUUCGGAGAGCGCGAGCGGGCUUCUCCGACGUAAGCGGCCGGCUGGCUGUCUUUCUUGUGGCCCUGUCCAUUGUUUGUGGUCUUGUCAGCUUCAUCUUGUGCCUGGCUGCAGAGGCCUCCAGAUCUGAGGUAGUUAAAACAGUUUGGUAAACUUACACUUGAGCCCCUCAGCUAUAUGCGAUUUUACGAUAGACCCCGCUAAGUUGGUUUAUUUUAUUUUAUUUAUUUGUAGUUGCUGUGUCAGUUAAAUUAGUUACUCCAACAAAGUCAUUAAUUUCAACAGAAUUUUUUAAAUCAGUUAAUGGAUUACACUCUAAUAUUGUUAACAUUUUACCACAAUUGGUGUGACACUUCCAAAUAGGCUACUUGGUAUCUCCUGAGCAUGAGGGGGGAUGGAACUAAGAUAUCAGAAUGCUUCUACAACAGCAGCGGCAGGACGGUCCUCGCCUGCGCGGUGUGCGCGUUCCUCCUGCUCGCGGUGGCCAUGUUCGCCGAGCACGCGUACAUGCUCGUCGCAGUCGCCAGCCCGGCCCAGCACGGGUUCUCCUCCUGGACGGCCGCCGAUGAUCCUCGAAUACCGGCCUCCAUGCGGGCUCUAACAUGGCAGGCCUGCUUUCUCUUCCUCAUAACUUGGUAAGAGUGAAACAUAUAUUUUUCCGCCUGUUUGGAUGUCCAAAUAAGUUAUAAGGGAUAUAACUCUUUUUGGCAACAUAGCGAGAGGUUAGUUGUUUCGAUAUUGAAAAGAUGGUUGAGAACGAAUAAAAAUGAAUUAGUAAUUUUACUUCAUAUGAAUGACUUGAUAAAUCAUAUUGGAGACCGGCUAUAUAAUGUGAAGUAUCAUGAUCAAAAGGACCUCACAAUGAACUAAAGUAGAAUUCUGAUAUCAUAGCUCUCUCUCUCUCACUCACAAAUUUGGUGAAGACAAUCCCUAAUAUGAGGCCAUUCAAUCCAUCAUUCAUCACAUAAAUGACAUGAAUCUUAAAGUUGUGUGAAUGAUAAAUAAGGCGGUCUCACAUUGGAGAUUGUCGUCGCUAUUGUAUAUAUAUAUAUAUAUAUAUAUAUAUAUAUAUAUAUAUAUAAAGAGAGAGAGAGAGAGAGAGAACAGGACUGUUGUGUUCUUAGGAGCACUGAGGCCUUCAUGCUCCUAAAUCGUUUUCGAUGAUGAAACUUCCAAAUCAACGAUUAGCUCUAUUAGACUUGAUUUAAUAUAUUUAAAGUUUCUAAAAAAUUAUUUUUUGUAAUUUUUUAAUAUUAUUUAUCUAGUGAACGAAAGAGUUCAAAAUCAAUAAUUUUUAAUAGUUGAUGUCUGCCGUUUUCAAGUUUAACAGUGUAGAAAUAUUUAAAUUAUAUGAAAAUUUGAUAUAAAAUUCUUUACAGGCUCUGUUUUGCCAUCGCCGAGAUCCUCCUAAUGAUCGGCAUCAGCGUCGAGUCUGGCCACCUUAGUGACUGGAAAAAGCCGAGGUCUACUUGCCAUACCAUCCGGCCAGGGGUGUUCGCGGCAGCCGGGAUUCUAGGACUGAUCACCGUAUUUUUAGGAUUCAUUUUGUACCUGACGGCUUUACGGGCGCAGAGAUUACAGCGAGAAGCAGAGGGACCACAUCACCAAGCCCCACCAUUCCCUCCGAGCGCGCCGCCUGAGGGCGAGGCCGCCCCUCGGCAGGACCCAUCACCUAGCAAGACUUCAACUUCCGCGUGAGCGGAAAUGGGCUUCUGUGCGGCCGAGACAAACACUGGGGGGUUCUCUGUAAAUUUCUUGGCAAGUUAGUUUCAUUGAAUUGAAUUUCUUUUCCACCUAAUUCAAGGUUGUAAAACAAAGAAACAGUUUUUUCCUUCAUAAUAAUGAAUACAUACUUCAUCACCAGUUCUUCAUACACAUCACAAAUGGAGAGUUCCCCGAAAAGUUUUGGGGAAUGUGAUCUCAUUCAAUUGAAUUCCACUUACACCUAAAAGGGAAAAACCGAAAAGAUAGAGAAACUAAUGUUCAAGGAUGCAUAGGCAAACAAAACGAUCUUUUCUCGAUAAUAAUUGAAUAUUACAUUGAUUCUUCAUACAAAUGUCAUAGCGGUCCGGUUAGUUGUCAAGCUACAACAAACAUGAAGAGGGCCUUUUUCUCGGAGUUAGUCUCACCAAACAAUAUAUUAGAAAUGACAACCUUCGAAGAACAGAAACCGGCUUAUUCGCCCUUCUCUCUCUUUACACAUAACAACAACACACUAGAACAACAAGAUAGUUACACUCCCAUGAAUAAGAACUAAAAGAUAUUUCCAGUAGUGCUUUUUCUUCACCUCGACAACACCGUUGCACGGCUAGGGCGUUUUCCCUCCAUGGCGUCUUUCUUUCUCCUGCAGUCGGAGCAAAGGUAAGGGCCUUCCCACGGCUUCGAUGUGGGUGAAAAGAAUGUUCCCGAAUUGGCGGGUAGAUCUUCAGUUGGGGUUUGAUCCAUUUGGCAUAUGGCGCACCGAAAGGGCGCUGAAUUUGCUUUUGAUGGGAAGUUUUUACCCAACCUACACAACAAGAAUAGGUUUAUAGUAGCAGACUCUGUAUUAGUUUACUAAGCAUUGAUUAAAUCGUUCAGGGGCAAUUAAAUCGGGUAAAUAAUAACGAAAUCAAAUAAGGGAGAUUUUAAUCAGCCAAACAUAAAUUGAUUACUAUCAUUUACCUAUAUAGUACUAAAAAAAAACUACAUUGUUUUUAUCCUAGAAAAUGACAUUAAUGAUGAAUGUCUUCUUUAUUUUCAUUCCUGAUGAUGUAAUACAACAUAUGACUUUUUGCCACUUCAAACUAAGGAUUACUUGCAUUCUGAAACAACAUCUUAUUUUCAGAGACAUUUGGCUGAUACAUUAAUUCUAUUUCUAGCCGGUGCUUUUCAAAGCAGCCAGUGCACCCACACACAUCGUCUCAAGACUGGUCGAUGAAAGGAUAUAUAAGCAACUCUCAUAAAGUAAAACAUCAUAAGAUUUCAUAUAUAUAAAAGGUUGUGCAUAGCAAAGACCAACAAAUAAGAUAAAAAGUAAUUUGUUAAAAUAUUGAUGAUUUUCAUUUUGACGACAAUUCUUAGUGAAUUUCUUGCAAGGAUUAAGUAAAAAUUUCAGCAUAAUCUCUUCUCACUUAUAACACUAUCAUAUAACAAAGCAGGUUUUCAGAAACUAGACGUUGCCAAGCUUCUGAAAAUUUCAUGAAGCUUUGAGUAGUGAAAGUUGUACUUCUACAUAAAAAUAGCCCUCCAAUCAGCUAGACAAAUAACUAUGAGAAGGUUGUUAUUUCCAUUCAAGCCCCCAAAGGAAUAUAAGAAACUUUGCACUGCUAAUUUAGGGCGUAUUUCUUUCCCUCUAAGAAGACCUGGUAGAAUCCAGAAUUCUGCCAGGCAAUUUUUAUUGCUGGCUUUAUUUACUGUGGAAAAGUGGGGCAAGAUGGGUAGGCUGCAAAUUUUAAAGAUCUCUUCCCAAAUGGAUCAAAUUGUAGGAAGGGUCUAAAUUCAAUCUAAUAAAAAAUAGGAAGAUUUGAUUUAAGGCUUUUGGAGCACGGAGCAGAUUUUAUAUCCACCGCAAUUUCUUCCCCGAAAAAAAGAAAAGAUUAUGUCUUCUGCAGUGAGUUCCUGCAUAUUGCAGAAUCCUAUGUAGAGAAAACAUACUGAGCAUGAAAAGAACAAGACUAUGAGACAAUAGAGAAAGAAGCCAGAGAUACAAAGUAGAGAAAAGAGAGCUCACGGCUAAGAUAGUAAUCGAAUUAAAAUGAUAUAUUCCUCCAAUAUAAGCGAUACCAAAGAGGGGACCAAGGAUUUGUGUUAGUAGUUAAAUCAACAUCACAAGCUAUAUGCUUAUCCUCUUCCUAUCUGUUAUCCUUCUUAUUAUAAUAUCUUUUCCAUCCACUUGUUGCUGCCUUUUCUUUUAUUUGUAUUUCACGCCAAAAUAAUGAACCUGUUAUAGCAAUUUUUAACUCCAUUUGCUCUAAAAUGUAGCCUUGCAGACAAAGUGACUCAAAAGACUUGUAAACAGAUCCGGACAAUUUCAUCGCAGUCUGAGUAAUUUUAACUUAAAAAUCAGAAGCAAGGUAAUGUUUUGGACCUUGCUUCAAAGUUGAAAACCAGUUAAUGUUUCAGUUCCAUCUACUACGGACUAUCCUUAUAACUUAAUGCACACUCAUGAAUCAUCUCCUUCUAAAGAAGAAACAUUGAGGCAAUCAUAAAAAGGUACAUAAAUUAGGAGUGUUUUAAAUAUAAACCAAUUCCUAAGAAUGUAACUGUAGUAAAUAAGCGUUAUAAGCAACAGAUAAUAGCAUAAGUAAACCAGAAUAUCGUACACUAGAAACUGUACCAUUGGAGCAAGUCGAAACAAACCUUUCUUCAAGCAUUGCAGAGCCCUCUUCGAAAAGUUCCUCCACAGCUCCAACAGAGGCAGGCCUGUUCAUCAGUUUACCAACAGUGUUCUGUGACCUCCUCCCGAAAAGAAGUGAUCUCAACUUAUUCUGAUUCUUCUUCGGAGAAGAAGGUAGGACGGACUGAUCAGAUGGAAUGAUAUCAACAACAAGGCAAGUUGUGUCAUCUUUCAAACCACUUGUUCUCAAUGCUUCCUAAACAAAAUUUAAGCAAACAACCUUGAGAUAAGAAUUCUACAGGAAAAAAAAAAGCUGAAACAUAUUGUUAUUAUCAAAAAAAUAAAAAAGAAACAAAGAACUAACGGCCAUUUAUGCAUCACCUUAACAACAAGCUUUGCAGCAAUUUCUGCAGGCAACCCUCGGCAAGCCUUGGCAGCCGUUUCAGAUGACAAAGCAUCCCAUAUGCCAUCGGAAGCAAUAAUAAGCCUUCCUCCAGCACUAGAAAGCUAAUCAUCACAUAAAAAACAUGUUAAUAACAAGAAACACAUCAGCACCAAAGACUACUAUUAUUGAGGUGAAGUUUAAUCAUUAAUAGGUUGCUCUACUUUUUGGGAGCUACCCAUCUGGUCGCUACACACUUUUAAGCCAUCAAACUCUUAACAAUAUACCAUAACCGUCCCUUAUAGCUAAAUAAAUAAAGUCAGGCAACUAUGUUUUUAAAAUCAAUAUAGUAAAUCAGUCACAUGUGUAUUGACUAUUGUUCAUCUUAUAAGCCUUAUUACAUUUCGAAUAUAGAUCAGCUAGACAAAAGAAGAUGAUAUUAGUUACUUGCAAAAGUUUGGUGACUUAAUUGGGAUUAAAAAGAGUUUAGAACCCAACUUAUUAUUCCCAAUGUUACGAAAUGGUCGUGGGAACCAUCUCACCACCAUUCCAUAGCAUCAGAGGAAUGAAGCUCCAAAGUGCUUUCGGACAUUUUGAAAGCUCUAAAAGUAUCAAAGCAGCUGCUUUUGGAAAUGCGUUCCCCAAACUAGGCCUCAAACCACAAUUCUGCACUCACCUUCACUUGCUUAACAUGCGGUAUGGGAACGAUGAAUUCCCCCACAUCCGUAUCUCCGAUCGAUCUAGAAAGGCAUAAUCCACCCGGCCAGCAUCUAAGUGGACCAACCUAACACCACAAGAAUGCGAAAUUAAGAAUCGCCAUUAGAUCAAAGAUAAAGAAUGAUCAAAAGAAAAGGAAAAAAAGAAGAAGAAAGAAGCAAUUUUAGUUUCUCUCCCCAUUACCUCCUGCCCCCCACAAAGAUUGAGCCUUCCAACCUCUCCUCCGCUGGCGGUCACCCUCUCCCUCUCUUCCACAUUCUCCUCCAACCGAUGAUCAACAGUGAGCAAAGACACCAGACCUCCCUGUGUAUCCAAUAUGCACCGAGAGUCGCCAACCGAAGCUACCGUCACCGUCAACCCAUCAAUUACGACUAGCGUCGCAGUCGUCCCCGACACUUCCCCUGAUAAAUCAAUCCAAGAUGGGAUUUUUUUUUUUGUUUUCGUUUCCCCACAUCAAUCAGGUAGAAAGAAGAGAUGGGCAACGCUAGAAAUCCGGAAAAAAAAGGCUUACCUUUUCGCUGGAAAUCGAUGUCGGUCUUGACGAAACCAGCGACGAGAGCACGCGGCAGGGCUUGGAGCCACUCCUCUCUACUAAUCCCUUGAGGGAUCGCGCUUAGAACGUGGUCCAAGAGGUGCUCCUUCGUGAACACGGCGGCGGAGACCCCGUUGUGCCCAUCGAAGAUCUGAUAGAAUCAGCACCAAAAGAAGCAAAUUGGACAGUAAAUAGAGAUCAAAAGCAACAAAUGGGGACGGAAUCGAAAGCGGCGGGGAAUGCGAUACCGCGAAGACGGAGAAGGAGGAGGAGGGGUUCCCGGGGACGCGGAGGCAAUCGGGCUUGACGAGGAAGUAGUCCUCGCCGCGCUUGGCGAACGCGGCGUGCCCGUAACGGACGGCGGGCCUCUCCGACCGGUCGCCGCCGCGGAGCUCGCGGCCGAUGAGGGUGGCGAGGGGGAGCAGCGGCGGCGGCGCCGCCGCCGCAGCGCUCGGAUCCCGAGGGAAGGACUCUCCGGCGGCGGCUGCGGCGGAGGCGGCGGCGGCGGCCAUGGCAGGGGAGUGGGGGGGGGCGGCGACGUGGAAGGUAGUGAGGGAGUGGAAAACCCUAAUCCAUUCCCCCUUCUACAGAUCACGGCAUCGCGAUCCGAUCGCUCCGAGCCCUAAUCGGAGAACGGGGGAUUCGAAAUCGAGGGAGGAAUUGGGGGAGGGGGAAAAAGGGAUCGAAGAGAUCGAGGAGGAAGGCGCCCACGGAUUCGGAGAAGCGUAGAGGGAGAGAGAGGAGAGAGAAUGGGAUCGCUCGGAGUUCGUGCUCUCCACUAACGUAUUGGGUGCAUUAUUGGGUACGCGUCGUGGUAGGGAAAAAGAUGGAGAGAGAGAGAGAGAGAGAGAGAGAGAGAGCGAAUUUACGGAAUUACCCUUGUGGCUCUCCUCGUAGUGGGGAUGAUGCUGGAAACAUGGGGGCGCGUUCAGGAGCUACUGUUGCGUAGAACGAGUUCACUGGACCGGACCAAUCAGAAUGCGACGGUAGGAAUGUAUUAAAAAAAGCGAUUUGCACACAUUAAAUAUUAAUUUAUUAUAAUUUUUUAAUUCAAAAUUUUAAAAUCAUUUUAAUUACGUCAUACAAUUUAAUUUAGUUGACUAAAUAUUUUUAUAUGUAAAAGCGAUACGAUAUCUUAAUUAUUGGCGUAUUAUCAAUGAGAAUCAAUAACAAUUAAAUUGAAUUUUAGGACUUGAUCAUAAUUCUAAAAAUUUGAAUAAAAAAUUACUGCAAAUUAAAAUUUAAAGAUCAAAUAUCAUCCACUUCAUAGUUUGAGGACCAAAGGUCUCCUAUGAGAUUUAGUAUUUUAUUUUUUUGCAGCCUAGUUGUUUCAAAUAUUGUACAAUUUGGCUAUUUUAUAAUUUCAUUUUGUUAAAUAAAAUAAUAAAAUGAUAUACUUUAUGAAAUAAUAAAAGUAAUUUAUAAUAUGGAUUUUAUCAUAAUUGUGGUAUGUGAAAUGUAUCAGCUUAGUUUGCUAUCUAAAAACAACUUUUAAUAUAAAAAAGUUAAAAAACAAACAAACAAACAAACACAUAAUAUCAAAUUUGUAUAUUUUUCAAAUAUAAAAUGACAAAAUAAAAAUGCGCUAAGCAAAAUUUAUUUGUAAUAGGUGCAUAUUAAAUUUACUAAAUUUAGUCAAAUUUAAUAAUUAAAUAGUGGAACAACACAGUAAUUAGGAAGUAACUCAAUACUGUUCUUUUAUUGUUAUUUUUCAGUGGACAUUAUUUUUCAACGAGUAGAUUCUUAUAAUUUUGGCUUGUAGCUUAUUUUUGAAAAAGAAAACAAUUUAAAAAGUAAUAAAACUGCAUGAAUAAUUAAGCUCGCCUUAAUAAUAAUAAACAAAUAGCUCAUGAACUCAUCUGUAGGGGUGGAAACGAGCCGAGCUCGAGCGAGCUUAUGUCGGCUCAAAUUCGGCUUGAAAUUAAUUUCGAGCCUUAAUCUAGGCUCAAGCUCGGCUUGAAAUUAAUUCGAGCCGAGCUCGAGCGAGCCUAAUUUCGAGUCGAGCCGAGCUCGAGCUCUAAACGAGCCGAUUGAAAUUCUCGACAUUAUAUAAUCAAUAGUUUAAUUUUUAUAGAACAUUACCUACAAUUUGAUGCAAUAUGUCCAAUGGUUCAAAAUACAAAAUAAUUGCAAGAAAUAUGAGCUAGGGUGACUCCCUGACCGGGUGAGGGUCAAAGAGAGAGAGAGAAAGAGAGAGGAGAAAAAAAUUAGGAAUUUGAAAAUUUGAAUGUUAUCAUGUUUUAAGGUUAUUUGCAAAAGUGAAAGUCUGAAAGAGAGAGUGUGUUAUGUAAAUUUAGAGUUGGGUUCAAUUGCACGGUUGUACUUGUUGGGUUUAUUUUAUGGGCCAACAAUAAUGGCCCAAAUUAAAUUAAAGCCUAUAUAUAAUUAAAAUACAUUAUAUAUAUAUAUAUAUAUAUAUAUAUAUAUAUAUGUAUAUAUAUAAUAAUAUUAGUAGGCGGAUACUGUUGCCUAUUAGGGACUACAGCAGCCCUUUGCCUCCUAAGUUCUUAACGCGCAUCAAAUUUGAUGGGUGUUAGGUGAAAGAGAGUUAAGAGAAAUUAGAAGAGAAAUUGAAUUUUCUCAAAUCAAAGAGAAGAAAAUUGAGAAUCCAAUUUCCUUCAAUAUUCUCUUCUCUCUUUCACCAUAACCAUCCAAUCAAUUUGAUGGACGGUUAAAGACUUAGGGAGCACAAGCGUCUGCGUGUGCCCUAAUAGCACAAUAGCCUCUACUAUUAUAUAUAUAUAUAUAUAUAUUCGAGCUUUUCGAGCUUUUCGAGCCUAAUUCGAACGAGCCGAGUAAUACUCAAGCUCGGCUUGAAAUGAAUUUCGAGCCUUUUAUUUUGUUCAAGCUCGGCUCAUUUAAUUUCGAGUCGAGCUUGAGCGAGCUGAAUAUCAAGUUGAACACGAGUCGAACGCGAGCCAGCUCGCUCGUUUGCCAGCCCUACUCAUCUGGGCAUUUAUAGGGUACGAGGAGUAAGAUCCAAACUUUAUUAUGAUACAUUCAUUUUAUUAACCACGAUUAAAUCACGUAAAUUACGAUUAGUUGUUAAUAAAAAUAGAUUGAUUGUUAAUAUGUUUAAUCACAUAAAAAUUAAGGAUUCUUUGAUAUAAUUUUCUUUAGUUUUAAGUGAUCACGACGAAUAUCUCAUAACAAAUAUUAGUUUUUUUAUUUGAGAUUGACUAUUUUGUGGGUAUAUAAACCCUGUAACAUAAAUGAUAGAACAAUCAAAAUUUGCUAAUACUUUAAUUUUUAAUAUUAUCAUGCUUUAAAAAUCUAACUAUCCAGGUCUAUGGGUGAUGUGGUAAAGCUAAACCACCCAAUUAUUUCUUUGAUAUAUAUAUAUAUACACACUUUUUGAUCAGAGGUUGAAUCGAUCAUCAGAAAAAGAAUUAGACAAAAAAUUAGGAUGCACUCUAAAUUUUUUUCUUUAAUUUAAUGCCCAUUGGUAUUCCAAAAGUACCUUUUCGGAGUCCUGGAGAGGAAGAUGCGGUUUGGGUUGACGUAUAGUGCGACUUGUCAGACAUAUUGGAUCAUAUAUAUAUAUAUAUAUAUAUAUAUAUAUAUAUUCCCAAUUUGCUAAACUAAUUUAGUGGUUAAUAAGUGUGUCUAUUCACUCACGAGAUCACAUGAAUAUUUUUUUUUAUUUUUUUGGUUUACUGCUCAAGUUAAUUCCAUCAAUAAAUAUAAUCUAGAGGAAUAUAGAUGGUUUAGAUUUAAUAUAAUUCUAGAGGUGACCUGCUAUUGAAGCAUAGGUACCAUUCACCAUGUACCCAUUUAAAGGGUAUUUUAGUCUUUGUAAAAUAGUUUGGUCCACAAAACCGAUUUUAUCCAACUAAGAAUAUUAUGACCCUCUUAAAUACCUACAACAAUAAUUGAAUUUUAAAUUACAACCAAACUGUAAAUUUAAAUUCAAAACAACAUUUAAAACUUUAUAAAUCAAAUUUAAUUUUUUUGUAGAUUCAAAUUUAAAAAUUUAAUAUAAAUUUCAAAAUUAAAAUUUUACAUUACAAUACUAAUUUCAAAAAUUAAAUUUAAAUUCAAUAUUUUUUUGAGAUGGAUACUUAAUAAAUUGGGUAUCAUCUAAUUUGGUAAGUUAUCAAAGUAAAUAAGAUAUUUAAUAUUUAAAGGAUACUGACAAAUUUGGUAUAUACUAAUUUUUUUUCAAUAUUGUCAUGUUAAUUAAUUCAAAUCGGUAAUCUGUUCAACAGGUUACUUCGUGUAAAUCCCAACUAUAUCCUUUACUAAUUAAGGAAUUAAAUUUUAAUACUUGUAGUGUAUUGAAGCAUUCCUCUAUAAUCUAUACCAAAGAAAUAAUAACAU